GUGCUGCGCAUGAGAGUGCUUACUGCAUUUUUUCUUACACAUGUGUUUUUCUUUUUUUGAAAACUUUGCUUUGGUAGGCCUUCUAUAUGGGGCCUGCCAGAGAUUAAACUCAACCAAAUUUUAUUUAAUGUCAACCGAUUAUUUAAUAGUCAAAACUUUCAACAACGGAUCUCUUGGUUCUCGCAUCGAUGAAGAACGCAGCGAAAUGCGAUAAGUAAUAUGAAUUGCAGAUAUUCGUGAAUCAUCGAAUCUUUGAACGCACAUUGCGCCCUUUGGUAUUCCAAAGGGCAUGCCUGUUUGAGCGUCAUUUCUCCCUCAAACCCUCGGGUUUGGUGUUGAGCGAUACGCUGGGUUUGCUUGAAAGAAAGGCGGAGUAUAAACUAAUGGAUAGGUUUUUUCCACUCAUUGGUACAAACUCCAAAACUUCUUCCAAAUUCGACCUCAAAUCAGGUAGGACUACCCGCUGAACUUAAGCAUAUCAAAAGCCGGGGAGGAA
rnacentral:rRNA from 1 species